rnacentral:miRNA from 2 species
GAACGGUCAAAUGUUAGACACGGA